rnacentral:rRNA from 1 species
GUUUGAUCCUGGCUCAGAACGAACGCUGGCGGCGUGCCUGAUACAUGCAAGUCGUGGGAGAAAGUCUUAGCGGUACCGCUAGUACACCUGCGCAGGGGUGAGUAACACGUGGAUAACCUGCCUUAGAGUCUGGGAUAACCCGUCCAAAGACGAGCUAAUACCUGAAUAAGACCACCGGAAGUUCGCUUUCCAUGAGGUAAAUAGAUGAGCCUCAUGCUCGCUGCAAGCAUAGUGCGCUCUUGAGCAGGGGCUCCGCUGUCCUAUCGGCUAAUUGGCUAGGUAGCGGCUCACCAAGGCUAAGACUGGUAGCUGGUCUGAGAGGAUGGUCAGCCACACUGGGACUGACACACGGCCCAGAGUCCUACGGGAUGCACCAGUCAGGAAUAUUGCGCAAUGGAGGAAACUCUGACGCAGCGACACCACGUGGGUGAUGAAGGCCUUCCGGUCGUAGAGCCCUGUCUGAGGGGAAGAAAAGUCUGUUGGCUAAUAUCCAAUGGACCUUUGACGGUACCCUCAUAAGGAAGCAGCGGCUAACUCCGUGCCAGCAGCCGCGGUAAGACGGAGAGUGCAAGCGUUGUUCGGAUUGACUGGGCGUAACGGGCGUGUACGCGGUUUGUCAAGUCGGGUGUGAAAGCCUGGGGC